rnacentral:misc_RNA from 1 species
UUAAGUUCAGCGGGUAUUCCUACCUGAUCCGAGGUCAACUUUCAGAGGUGCACGAUGGCAGGUUUUACGGCUGGGCACCGCUAAUCCAACCUAAGCGAGAAAAAAUUACUACGCUCGGAGUCUUAGCGAGCACGCCACUGAAUUUCAGGGCUAGCCCUUCUACAGGCUACGCCCCAACACCAAGCGGUAAAGCUUGAGGG